UACGUAGGGGGCAAGCGUUAUCCGGAUUUACUGGGUGUAAAGGGAGCGUAGACGGCCUUGCAAGUCUGGUGUGAAAGCCCGGGGCUCAACCCCGGGACUGCAUUGGAAACUGCAUGGCUGGAGUGCAGGAGAGGUAAGCGGAAUUCCUAGUGUAGCGGUGAAAUGCGUAGAUAUUAGGAGGAACACCGGUGGCGAAAGCGGCUCUCUGGCCUGUAACUGACACUGAGGCUCGAAAACGUGGGGGGCAAACAGG
rnacentral:rRNA from 1 species